AAGGGUUUAGCUUAAUUAAAGUGUCUGAUUUGCACUCAGUCGAUGUGAGUAUAUAGUCUUGCAACUCUUA
rnacentral:tRNA from 1 species